rnacentral:tRNA from 1 species
UGGUUCAGUGGUAGAAUUCUUGUCUGCUACACAGGAGACCUGGGUUCAAUUCCCAG